GUCUGCUUCUGAGGAGGAAGCAUCUCUUCAUAGUUUUGAGGCUGCUUUCAGGAUUCACGAUUCAGCUUUCAAGUUGGUUGUUGAUGGUUAGGAUGUUUUCAUUUUGACUUCAGCUGUUGACGAGACAGUAAGAGCCUUGAGAGGACUCCUAUCUCUCCAUCAUGUAUGACUAAUUGUGUUGAGACAGCCGUAGGUACGAUAACAGUUCUAUUUUUCUCUAGAACAACUCCAUUACAGACCUCCUGGUAGCGGAGCCCCAGCAAGUGUUUUGCAGGAGUUUUGCUGAUUGCGCAGCACAGAUAACCUGUGAGUGAGUAAACAUGGAAAGUGUUGAAUAUUCAGCCCAGCGUGAGACACACACUCAGAAACCAGGAGCAGGCUUGUUUUGCUGCCUGUCUCAACCUAAGCUUUUAACUGUGUGUUGUGAGUGCUUUUCAGGAAACUGCCUUGUCUGAGACACGUCACCGGACAGUGAAGUGCUCUGCUUCAGGGACAGCCAGCAGGAGCACUGUGAAAGGCCAGAAACCAAGUCUAGACAAGGGCAGGAUUUCUGGCUUUGCGUUUCUCUGAUGCUCUGUUUUCCCUAUGUUCUCCUUGGGCACUACAAGUCAAUCCAUGCAAAAUAGGGACUCGCACUGUGCUUCGUUUCAGAGGGAUCCAGUGAAUUAACAUAUUGUUGCUGCUACUUUGGUAAUUGCAUGCCCAGGGUCUGCUCUGCUCCGACUCAGUCUGCCUGGCUUCCCAGACAGAAACCAUCCUUCUCCUCUAUCAAACAAGGCUGCAAAGUAUUGCCCAGAGACAUUGCUUCAACGAAGGAGGAUAGGGUGGGAGGAGGAGGGGGAGACUGUUUCCAAAGGCACAUCUGGCUCCAAGACCUCGCCUCUCCAGGAGGAAGAGGAGGUUUUCUAACUAUGGAAGCACUCUGGAGGAGCUGCACCGUGUGCUGCUGACCCCAGGGUGGGGAGGGAGUAGGAGCUGCGGUGUACCUUUGUGAGUUGCAUUAUCAAGGAGAGAGGCUUUCUGACAUGCCGUAUAGUGUCAAAAACCAUUCAUUCCACCCUUCGCAGCAAAAGUCCUUCUUGCUUUUUUUUUUUUUUUUUUUUUUGUCUUCCAAGACAGGAUAUUUGUGGUUAAAGAUCCUUUGUAUGCACAUCAAGGUCAUACAAAAAAAAAAGUCUCGAACUCAAUUGCACAGAUAAACUCAGACCACUGGGGAAUUCCUGCUUAGUUUUUCAUCUUUUCUUUCUUCAGUUCCUUGCAAGAUACCUAUUUUAUUUCUAUUAUUUACUGUGUUUAAUGUUUUUCCCACCAGAGUUCUUGUUGUCUCUUUGCAUUCCGUAAAGCUCUAUGUCAAGCUAUGUGAAAAAAAAGCAGCAACAGCUGGAAACUGGAGGUGACCAUCCCUGUGUUUCAGGUUUGCCCUGCAUUGUUUUCUGGUGUUUGGGCUGGAUCUGAACCUCACACCAUACGCUGCCAUGUGUCCACAGUGAUGUUCUGUCUGGGAAGCUGAG
rnacentral:lncRNA from 1 species